rnacentral:rRNA from 1 species
GGGGUCAGUAGGUUGGUCGUGCCACCGGUACGUACUGGUCUCACUGAUUCCUCCUUCCUGAAGAACCGUAAUGCCAUUAAUUUGGUGUUGCGGGGAAACAGGACUGUUACUCUGAAAAAAUUAGAGUGUUUAAAGCAAGCUAACGCUUGAAUACAUUAGCAUGGAAUAAUGAAAUAGGACGAUCGAUCCUAUUUUGUUGGUUUCUAGGAUUGACGUA